rnacentral:tRNA from 1 species
GGAGGGAUGGCAGAGCGGUUGAAUGCACUGGUCUUGAAAACCAGCGAGGGUGAAAGCCCUCCGAGAGUUCGAAUCUCUCUCCCUCCGCCA